rnacentral:rRNA from 1 species
AUUGAACGCUGGCGGAAUGCUUUACACAUGCAAGUCGAACGGCAGCACGGACUUCGGUCUGGUGGCGAGUGGCGAACGGGUGAGUAACAUAUCGGAACGUAUCCAAUAAUGGGGGAUAACGAGUCGAAAGAUUCGCUAAUACCGCAUACGCCCUACGGGGGAAAGCUGGGGACCUUCGGGCCUGGCGUUAAUAGAGCGGCCGAUAUCUGAUUAGCUAGUUGGUGAGGUAAAGGCUCACCAAGGCGACGAUCAGUAGCUGGUCUGAGAGGACGACCAGCCACACUGGAACUGAGACACGGUCCAGACUCCUACGGGAGGCAGCAGUGGGGAAUUUUGGACAAUGGGCGCAAGCCUGAUCCAGCCAUUCCGCGUGAGUGAAGAAGGCCUUCGGGUUGUAAAGCUCUUUCGCAAGGGAAGAAAACUUAGCCACUAACAUUGGUUGAGGUUGACGGUACCUUGAUAGGAAGCACCGGCUAACUACGUGCCAGCAGCCGCAGUAA